rnacentral:lncRNA from 1 species
GCACAAUUUAUUGUUUUUAAUUACAUGAGUUAAAUGGAUGCGUUUUACUGUAUGUAGGUUAUACCUCAAUAACAUUGACUAAAAUAACAUAUUUGUCUACCUGGAUGGAGAUUUUUUAAUAAUAGAUUCAUGGAAAGGACUGAGUCCAUUGCCUGGCUUGUAGAAAAAAUUAAGUUUAUUCAGUAUUUUCCCAUUGAUGUUAUAGAGUCUGAAUGUUAUGAAUGAGAGAUUGAUAAAUUAUUGAGGUGCACAUGCACUUUGUGAUACACGCUAUCAUACCUCCCUAAGAGAAAACAGAUGUUCUUUCCAGUUACUAAUGAUUUUGGAAGUCUUAGAUGCAACUCUUCCCCUAAGAAAGAAUUUAACCCAGACUGUUGAUUUUAAUUUUGAGACAGUACUUCUUUGGUUCUAAAAUUAAGGAGAAACUCUUUUCCUCUUCAAUGUGAUGACUGUCUUCAACUAUGUAGGAAGAAAUUAUGUUGAUGCCACUUUCUGGUAACUUGGAAAGUAAUACAAUGCAUUGGAUGCCUUCUAGAAUCAAGAAGAAAUGUGACAUUCUCUCCUUUUGUACAAAGGUAAAAGCUUCGCCAAGUAUUUCAUGAUGCCACUAGAAGCCCUCUUGGAGACACGGAUCUUACAACAUGACCCGGGACCUCCUUUUCAUAAAAUGCUAGCAGAAAAAUAUGUCACCAGAGUGCCCAGGUAUGAUAUGUCCUCAAAUCUUCAAUGUGAAGAGACACUGGAAAUUAGGUAAGCGCUGAUUUGCAUUAAGCAUGAGAAAUUACAUGAUAACACUGUCUUCUUUAAUUAAAUCUACCACCGUAAGCCAAGUUUACUUUUAAACAAGUUCUCAAAUCUCAAUAGCAUUUAUAAGAACUUGCAGUAAGUCAAAAAACAUACCUCAAAAAACACAUUAGGCCUAACUUGGGAGACGAAGGACAUAAUGUUCAGGCAGCGCUAGGCCCAAUCUCCAGGCCACUGUUGUGGAUCUUUAUUAAAAAAUGAGGUCAGGGGCGCCUGGGUGGCUCAGUCGGUUAAGCGGCCAACUUCGGCUCAGGUCAUGAUCUCGCGGUCUGUGAGUUCAAGCCCCACGUCGAGCUCUGUGCUCACAGCUCAGAGCCUGGAGCCUGUUUCAGAUUCUGUGUCUCCCUCUCUCUGACCCUCCCCCGUUCAUGCUCUGUCUCUCUGUCUCAAAAAUAAAUAAAUGUUAAAAAAAAAAAUUUUUUUUUAA